rnacentral:lncRNA from 1 species
CUAUUAACCCUAUUUGUUUUUAAUCACUUUUUAGAGCUUUGGUACUUCGAAUUGCUUGUUAUUUUAUUUCAGGAACAAAUAUGGUGAAAUUAAGUCUUGGAGCAAAAGAAGAGAUUCAGAAGCAUGGUUAAGGAAAUAAAGGAUCCAAACAUCAUCCAUGGCUGAUUGAGGAACAAAAUAUGAAGAUCCUUUACAAAUAUAUCGCGCACGGUCGUGCCUGUAAAUGCAUUGACUGAGCGCCUUUGCAUUCAGAAUGUGCUUU